rnacentral:rRNA from 1 species
UCGGGAAUUUUGGGCAAUGGGCGAAAGCCUGACCCAGCAACGCCGCGUGAGGGAUGAAGUAUUUCGGUAUGUAAACCUCGAAAGAAUGGGAAGAAUAAAUGACGGUACCAUUUAUAAGCUCCGGCUAACUACGUGCCAGCAGCCGCGGUAAUACGUAGGGAGCAAGCGUUGUUCGGAUUUACUGGGCGUAAAGGGCGCGUAGGCGGCGCGGUAAGUCACCUGUGAAAUCUCUGAGCUUAACUCAGAACGGCCAAGUGAUACUGCUGCGCUAGAGUGCGGAAGAGGCAACCGGAAUUCUUGGUGUAGCGGUGAAAUGCGUAGAUAUCAAGAGGAACACCUGAGGCGAAGGCGGGUUGCUGGGCCGACACUGACGCUGAUGCGCGAAAGCCAGGGGAGCAAACG